rnacentral:lncRNA from 1 species
CAAACUAAAUUUUUUUUGAAAACUUAAGGAACCAUGAAAUCUGUAAUUGAAUUCAAAUUUUUCAAAAUGUGGUGCUACACAAUUCCACAUAGUUGACUUAUUGUUUGCUGUAACUCAACAGGUAUGACUUGGCUUUUCACUUAGAGGCUAGAAUCAAAUCUGAAUCUUAGAUUGAUUCAGAUUUGAUUCUGGCUUCUGAGACAAGAUUACUUAUCAUAUAUGCUUGUGUAUAAACUGAGGAAUGUUUUUUGAAAAAAUUUUGAAUAAGGAGAAACAUGGUGCAAAAAAAUUGGAAAAUUUUUCAAAGAUUGUAAGAUUCACUAGCUUUGCUCAACGACCUGCCACCGGAUCUGCUCCUUUUGUAAUAUUUCUAGUGGUUCUAUUGGUCUUUCCGCUGCUGGAAUUGAAUCUUUGGCCAUUGGUUCACAUUCUAGAGCACUCAUAUACCCAAUAAAAUUUAUAUACAUCUUACAUAUUAUGUAUAAAAUACACUAUUAUUAAUU